rnacentral:lncRNA from 1 species
CAGUGUACUUGUAAAUUGGGUCUUCUCAAAACUCACUCUAACCAAAUGGAUAAGGUUCUGUUAAGGAAGCACAGGAAAGCUUUUCUGUUCCCCUUGACAACUAGUUCUUCUAGGUGGCCUGCUGAUAGCAUGUGCUCAUUUUGGUGCAUAUGUGUAUGGGACAGACAUAGACUACAACACAGUUCAUGGCUUGGGAAAGGCUACUAGGAAAAACCAGAAGUGGAGAGGACCAGAUGAAAACAUUAGGGCCAAUCUUCGUCAAUAUGGUUUAGAGAAGUAUUACCUUGAUGUCCUGGUUUCAGAUGCAUCUAAACCUUCCUGGAGGAAGGGCACAUAUUUUGAUGCAAUCAUUACUGAUCCUCCAUAUGGUAUCAGAGAAUCUACAAGAAGAACAGGUUCACAGAAGGAGAUACCAAAGGGGAUAGAAAAAUGAAAGCCAUGUUCCUGUUUCCUUGAGUUAUCAUCUGAGUGAUAUGUUUCUUGACCUGUUAAACUUCGCAGCUGAGACCCUCGUUUUAGGUGGAAGACUAGUCUAUUGGUUACCGGUGUAUACGCCAGAAUACACUGAAGAGAUGGUGCCUUGGCACCCUUGCCUGGAACUCGUUAGCAACUGCGAGCAGAAGCUUUCCAGUCACACAUCAAGGCGCUUGAUCACAAUGGAAAAGGUGAAGAAAUUUGAGAAUCGGGACCAGUAUUCACAUCUGCUAAGUGAUCAUUUUCUGCCAUACC